rnacentral:rRNA from 1 species
ACGAACGCUGGCGGCGUGCUUAACACAUGCAAGUCGCACGGAAAGGCCCUGCUUUUGUGGGGUGCUCGAGUGGCGAACGGGUGAGUAACACGUGAGUAACCUGCCCUUGACUUUGGGAUAACUUCAGGAAACUGGGGCUAAUACCGGAUAGGAGCUCCUGCUGCAUGGUGGGGGUUGGAAAGUUUCGGCGGUUGGGGAUGGACUCGCGGCUUAUCAGCUUGUUGGUGGGGUAGUGGCUUACCAAGGCUUUGACGGGUAGCCGGCCUGAGAGGGUGACCGGCCACAUUGGGACUGAGAUACGGCCCAGACUCCUACGGGAGGCAGAAGUGGGGAAUAUUGCACAAUGGGCGGAAGCCUGAUGCAGCAACGCCGCGUGCGGGAUGACGGCCUUCGGGUUGUAAACCGCUUUCGCCUGUGACGAAGCGUGAGUGACGGUAAUGGGUAAAGAAGCACCGGCUAACUACGUG